rnacentral:rRNA from 1 species
GAUGAACGCUGGCGGCGUGCCUAAUACAUGCAAGUCGAGCGAACAGACGAGGACCUUGCUCCUCUGACGUUAGCGGCGGACGGGUGAGUAACACGUGGAUAACCUACCUAUAAGACUGGGAUAACUUCGGGAAACCGGAGCUAAUACCGGAUAAUAUAUUGAACCGCAUGGUUCAAUAGUGAAAGACGGUUUUGCUGUCACUUAUAGAUGGAUCCGCGCCGCAUUAGCUAGUUGGUAAGGUAACGGCUUACCAAGGCGACGAUGCGUAGCCGACCUGAGAGGGUGAUCGGCCACACUGGAACUGAGACACGGUCCAGACUCCUACGGGAGGCAGCAGUAGGGAAUCUUCCGCAAUGGGCGAAAGCCUGACGGAGCAACGCCGCGUGAGUGAUGAAGGUCUUCGGAUCGUAAAACUCUGUUAUUAGGGAAGAACAAAUGUGUAAGUAACUAUGCACGUCUUGACGGUACCUAAUCAGAAAGCCACGGCUAACUACGUG